rnacentral:rRNA from 1 species
AGGACGAACGCUGGCGGCGUGCCUAACACAUGCAAGUCGAGCGAGGAGAUUCCUUCGGGAUGAUCCUAGCGGCGGACGGGUGAGUAACACGUGGGCAACCUGCCUCAUAGAGAGGAAUAGCCUUCCGAAAGGGAGAUUAAUACCUCAUAACAUUGCAGUUUCGCAUGGAACAGCAAUUAAAGGAGCAAUCCACUAUGAGAUGGGCCCGCGGCGCAUUAACUAGUUGGUGAGGUAACGGCUCACCAAGGCGACGAUGCGUAGCCGACCUGAGAGGGUGAUCGGCCACAUUGGGACUGAGACACGGCCCAGACUCCUACGGGAGGCAGCAGUGGGGAAUAUUGCACAAUGGGGGAAACCCUGAUGCCAGCAACGCCGCGUGAGUGAUGACGGCCUUCGGGUUGUAAAGCUCUGUCUUCAGGGACGAUAAUGACGGUACCUGAGGAGGAAGCCACGGCUAACUACGUGCCAGCCGCGGC